UACGUAGGUGGCAAGCGUUGUCCGGAAUUAUUGGGCGUAAAGCGCGCGCAGGCGGUCCUUUAAGUCUGAUGUGAAAGCCCACGGCUCAACCGUGGAGGGUCAUUGGAAACUGGGGGACUUGAGUGCAGGAGAGAAGAGUGGAAUUCCACGUGUAGCGGUGAAAUGCGUAGAGAUGUGGAGGAACACCAGUGGCGAAGGCGACUCUGUGGCCUGUAACUGACACUGAGGCGCGAAAGCGUGGGGAGCAAACAGG
rnacentral:rRNA from 1 species